rnacentral:lncRNA from 1 species
ACAGACACACUCAGAGCUUUCUCUUUUCUUCACCGCCGGCAAACCUAAAACCGACCCCAACCUUAAAUCGGAAAAAACCUAGCCGGAAAAAGAACAUCAAACAAACAUAUACCUCACGGCGCGGUUUGUCGCAAGUGGAUUUCCACCUCUGGCAGACAAGGGCAGCAGUUGGUGGUCGACACAAGCGACAGCUGCGGUGGCGUUGGCUAGUAUGGAAAACAGACCGGUUCACGGUGCCGAGCGGUGGUAUGCGAUUUAGAAUGGUAUUUGUAUUUCUUCCUAGUUCAUUAAUUACAUUCAUAUUGUUUAUUAGUUGGAAUUUUGUUACUGUAUUAUUUCCCAUGGUGGCUUGUAGUUCAAUAAACAUAUAGCUUAUAACUCGGUGUAUGCUCAGUGUUUAGCUAAAGUGAGUACAAGAGAUUUGAUUUUGACAUAAUUCAUAAUUAAAAUUUAAAUGAUAAAAGGGGUAAAUGGGUAAUUUCAUAAUAAUAGGGGAAAUAUGUAAUUGAUUUUAAAGGUUGGGUAAAUAUGUAAUAAAAGCUCUUAAUAGGGGGAUAUAUGUAAAAAACCCUUUUAUUUAAUGAGAAUCUUGUUGUUACUGAUUUCUUCUGAUGUUAAUGAUUUGUAGUUGCUUUGUGCUUCACGUGUUACGUGAAAAAUGCAAUAAUAAUUUACAUAGGAUAAAAUUCAUUUGUUUGUUCUAAUAUGCAAAAAAAAUUAGUUCAGAAGUCACUUUGAACCUCAGAUGUUUGAUGAAAUACAUUUAUGGUUUACAUUCGAUAAAUUCAUUGAUUUGUUCUAAUUGUUAAAGAUCCGAAGUUUAGUGGUGGCUUUGCGUUCCAGGUGUUUGAUGAAAUGUGACGUCUUUUUGUAGUUUUUGAGCUUCAUCGAGGAACUAAGUCGAGACAAAGCCUAUUUUGUCAACAUUAAACAUCUUUGGCCCCUCAAAUUUGGCGACAGUCAGUUUAUUUGGUUAGUGUGUGUCUCACUUGUUCAUCAGGUCGAUGGCCAUAUUCGGCUUACUGAAGGAAACAAUACAGGCCCGAUCAACUUGGAAAUCCAGGUCAACAUUAUGAUGAAUUCACCAUGCUUGAAGUUGCAGAGAAUGUGAAAGAGGUCAGUUCUGGAAGUUCUUUAACAAUUUUAUUGUUAUGUCCAAAAUGCCCUUGAAUUUGUAUGUCCAAAAUGCCCUUGAAUUUGGCGUUUAAUAUGAGUAUGAAGACCACAUAUGGUAGCUGAUAAACCCGAAAGUGAAAAUAACACAUGUGGAAAACACGCAUGAUGAUCCUCGACAAAGAAAGCCAUUGAUAACGAAGCCAAAGGAGGUGCUUGAUUCGGAACCAACAAUCAAAUUACGCUAUGGACUCCCCCCUAUGGACGAGGACUUCCGCAAGAGGCUUGGACUACCAAGGACUGCAUGAGUGUGAGCGUGUGCGUGUCCUCAAACCGCAAGAAUUUCGGAAGUAAUCGUGCUGCAAAUGAAGCUUCUGCUGGAACUGCACUCUUUCACCCGCUCUGAUUUUCAAUGAUGCCAGAUACAUUGAAAAGAAAAGGUUUGGACAGUAACUUAUAGAUGAGAUUUUCAUUUGAUAUAUGCAAUUGAAACUUUUGGGCUUAAUUUGUAACUUUUGUAUAAUUUCAGGGACUAAUGUUGAAAUUUACUGUUUUAUGGAACAUGUUAGAUGUAGUUAUGUACUAAUUUGAGAGGUUUUAAUCAUGUGUGAAUGCUUCACUU